rnacentral:rRNA from 1 species
CCCCAUAGUCUGGGAUACCACUUGGAAACAGGUGCUAAUACCGGAUAAGAAAGCGGAUCGCAUGAUCAGCUUUUAAAAGGCGGCGUAAGCUGUCGCUAUGGGAUGGCCCCGCGGUGCAUUAGCUAGUUGGUAAGGUAAAGGCUUACCAAGGCGAUGAUGCAUAGCCGAGUUGAGAGACUGAUCGGCCACAUUGGGACUGAGACACGGCCCAAACUCCUACGGGAGGCAGCAGGG